rnacentral:rRNA from 1 species
UACGGGGGGAGCAAGCGUUGUUCGGAUUUACUGGGCGUAAAGGGCGCGUAGGCGGCGUGACAAGUCACUUGUGAAAUCUCCGGGCUUAACUCGGAACGGUCAAGUGAUACUGUCGGACUAGAGUACAGAAGGGGCAACUGGAAUUCUCGGUGUAGCGGUGAAAUGCGUAGAUAUCGAGAGGAACACCCCGUGGCUAAGGCGGUUCUCUAGUACGGUACUGACGCUGAGACGCGAAAGCGUGGGGAGCAAAACGG